GCUGUCAGAGGAUCCUCUAAAGGAUGCCAGAGCAUCAGUGACAUGCACACACGGUCCUGUCAACUUCACAGAAACUGUUCCCAGGGAACAGAUGAGUCAAGAGAGAGUCAAUAAUGCAACCAUCCUUUUAGAUGAAUCCAAAGUGGAUGGUCAAAUGCAGAACUUUGACUUUUAUUUUGAUUACCCUCAAUAAAGUUUUCUUUGUGUUAUCCUCUGAAUAUCUUUCAAUGUCUCUUGUUUCUAUCCUCAAGAGAACAUCUUCCUGCUCCCUUCUGUUUAUUGCAUCCCACAAACCUGAGCAUGGUGGAGCAUGUGUCCCAUACCCUCUUUCCUCUGCCAGCAAUCCUAAAGUCUCAUCAUCUGUUUCCAGUGGCACAUCCAGAAACUGCGUCCUGCUCCUCUGUAUGGCUGGAGAGGCAGAGGUGCAGUCUUGCUGUGGAUAUUCUUCUUGACAAAGGAGCUUUGAAGUGCAGGACAGAAUCCAGGAAAGAUUUUCUGAAAAAUGAAGAGGGGCCCACUGAAGUCUCUAAGCCUGGGCAAGUCAAUAAACUGGCACAGUUGCCCAGAAGGAAUUGGCUUGUCUUACAUAAACUUACAAAAGGCCCUGAAAAACCAGAACUUUUUAAAUGGUAGAGAUAAAUUUUCUGACUUCAAAGUUGUAUUAAUUCAGAGUUUGGCUGAAGUUUCCUGUUCAAGCAGUUCCCCCCAAGCAGUGAUUUCAGAAUCCGCCUUGUUUUAAGGCUGGCAUUUGCUGCAGCUGCAGACCUGGAGUAUUUUCGAUGCACUCUGAGUGCUGGAACACCAUCCAACAAUUAAACCGCAACCUAAAAACAAUCAAACAUCUGUUUGGAGGCUGCUCAGUGACUGAACGUUCUCCUGCCAGCAUAAACGCUGGAGCUGCUGAGUGAUUCUUGUCUUGUGUGUGUGUAUGUGCUGCUUGUGUGGGUUUUUGUUCUCCUAAGCAGGAAGACUCUGUGUGUGUAAAUAUGCUGAGGAGCAUUUCAAUUGAAAUACAUGAAUGUGACCAGUUAGUUUAUUUGGGGAAGUGUUUUUGUUGACAUGAGCACACAGGUUUGAAUAUCAGCUUGAGAUUGGUGUGCUAGAGGUGGCUUUGGAGGAAGCACAGGAGCAUGUGGACUGCGAGCCUGGGAUCAGGUAUGUGGUUAUGUGUUGCUGUGUUUAUUUAUAGGUAUGAAUUGGUUUUUAUUUGGGGGAAAAAUUGGCAUUAUGGCUGCAUGUUUUUAGGUAAAGUAUUUUGAAGAGUGUUCAUGUGUGUGUGGAGUGUCCAUGUGUGUAUAUGUACAACUGUAGGACUGUAUUUGUGCUUUUUGGUGGAUUCUCCAUUUGACCUUUGAGUUCUGCCAUGGAGCUGAUCUGCUCCAGGGGCCAGGGGAGCUGUUGUCCUUCACUGCAGAUCCAAGAAGGGAGAUAACAAACUGCUGGCAGCAGCUCAGAUCUGGUUCAGGAGAACAGUGAGGUCUGGCUCUGAUGUGAUUUCAGACUCUAAAGAAAAACCCCCUGAUUUCAAGAACUCUCUUGAUUUUCUUCUCUCAGCGGAUUUGAGAAUGAAUUGACUCCAAGGAUUUGGAAACAGGGAUGGGGUGAUGAAUACUGGUGUUAGGUAUGCUUGCCUAGAGGACAAAUUACUCUCUCUAAAUGCACUUACAGACUCCAUGCAGGUUGCUGCUUUUGUCUUUUUUUUAUUUAUAGCCUUCAAAUAACCACAGGAUGUUGAUAGCCAGGGGGAAGCACCAUGCAAACGGCAUUCAAUCCCAACAGGAACUCCCUCCCUAUAAAACCAAGACCCGCUUUUGGAAAACACAACUGUUCCCACUCUGAGCCAAAUGACAGCUUAUGCUACUCCUACCAGCUCUCCCUGAAGCCCCAGGGUUUCUAGGCUGCUCUCUGUCAUUUGUGGUGUCCCUCUGUCCCUCACAGGCACUGAGUCACCCCAGUGGGAGAGGGAGAACAUCAGCACUACAAGUGACAGACUGGUCCACCCACUGCCUGUAUUCCAGGAACAUUCUGCUGGCUAAGUGAGAGCAGCUGGAGAUUUUUGCUUUAGCCCAUUUCUCCAAUAUCCUAUUGCUGAAGUAUAAGAACAGGCUGUUACAGGAAAGAAGGAUUUGAUGAUCUUCCCACUGUGAACCCCACAGCUUAAUUUAUUGUUCUAAUCACCUAUUCUUUUGCAGCAAUAUUAUUUUUCUGUUUGCGAGUUUAAUCUGAGGAAGUUCACUAGGAAAUAUCUUUGCCUCAGAAAGUUCUAUUGCUUGGAGAGGGCAGAGCACAAAGGGCAGCAGUAAAGCACAAAGAAUCAGUAGUUUUCUGCCAUGGCUGCUGCCCAGGUGCUGCAGAACACAAACCCCAAUCUAUCUCUGGUGUAUAAAAUUUUUGCGUCUGUCAAAUGGGGAAAGGACUUAGUGUGGUGGGAGAGAGACUUGAGCAACAUGUUUUCUAUGUUGAGAGAGUUGAGCUCAAAAAACUGCAGAAGAGCACUAUUGCUGUUACACACUGUCCUGCCUUCAGUGCACAUCUGUACACCUGGAUCAGAGCAAGGAAGCGCUGACCACCACAUGGAAUCACGUAACUUCCAGCAUUUGCCUCAGCCACUUACACCCCAAUUAGCGGUCUCCAUACUUUAGACAGAACCGUUAAGACUCUUUCAAGUCUGGAAGUUGUGGUUACCCACAGUCUGGAGCUGUGUGUGAGCUUGUGGAACAAGGUGUGUGGUCACUGUAUUGCGAAGCUCCUGCAGGUGAAGGUGUGACAAUCUCAGGUCACAGCCAGCAGGAGACACAGCCACCUGCAUAGGGACAAUAGCAAGACUCCUUUGUAAUGUAUCAUGCGAAUCUCACUCCUCCUUUUUCCAACACAAGACCCCUCAACAGGGUGAUGAUGUUCAUGACAAAAGGCCCCUUAUCAACAUUAGCAGCUGCUCAAUUUCCAAUUCCUGUUUUCCCACAAACUCCAACUCCAGAAAAAUAUGAAGUGCAACAUAAGGAAGCUCUCAGCUGUGUUCAUUUCCAUUAUGUUAUGAACCAUUAUGUUCAUUUCCAUAACUGAUGUGAAAUAAAUUUUGGUUUCUCUUCUAUUCCUAUCUUGUC
rnacentral:lncRNA from 1 species